rnacentral:rRNA from 1 species
AUCAGAGGCUGGAAGGAGAAGAAACUCUCCUUUGGAGGAAGAGAAGUGUUGCUGAAGGCUGUCAUUCAAGCUAUUCCUUCUUACGCUAUGCAAGUCUUUAAGCUACCAAAACAGAUUUGUAAUGCAAUAACAACUGCUAUGUCACAGUACUGGUGGGGAGAUGAGGAUGACAAGAAGCAUAUGCACUGGUUUGCGUGGUGGAAAAUGUGUGUGCCAAAGAGCAAUGGAGGUAUGUGUUUUAGAGACGUACACUGCUUCAACCUGGCGCUCCUAGCAAAGCAAUGCUGGAGACUGUUAGCAGAACCGGAGUCUUUAUGUGCCAGAGUAUUGAGGGCAAAGUAUUUCCCGGAUGGUGAUUUGUUAAAUUGUCCUCUCAAGAAAGGCAGCUCUUACACAUGGCAAAGCCUAUGGAGUGGUAUUCAGACUUUCAAAAAAGGUUAUAUAUGGAGAGUGGGAGAUGGUACUCAAAUAAGUAUUUGGAGUGAUCCAUGGAUACCUACCAGCCCAAACAGAAAGGUAAUGACUCCACGAGGUAAUAUCUUACCUACAAAAGUUUCUCAACUUAUGGAUGAAGAGAAUGGAUGCUGGGAUGAGCAACUUAUUAGAUAUCUAUUCUGGCCAAUUGAUGCAAACCGUAUUUUGAAUAUACCCUUGGCUACGGGGAUGAUGGAAGAUUUUGUUUCAUGGCACUACAACAAAUCUGGAAUUUUCUCGGUC